rnacentral:SRP_RNA from 1 species
GCUGGGCGUGGUGGUGCACGCCUGUAAUCCCAGCUACUUGGGAGGCUGAGGCAUGAGAAUCGCUUGAAGCCAGGAGGUGGAGGUGGCAGUGAGCCAAGGAGGCGCCACUGCACUUCAGCCUGGGCAACAGAGUGAGAUUCAGUCUCAA